GCCUUCGUGGUAUAGUGGUCAGCACGCUCGACGCGUAACCGAGAGAUCCGUGGUUCGAUUCCCGGCGAAGGUG
rnacentral:tRNA from 1 species